rnacentral:rRNA from 1 species
AACGAACGCUGGCGGCAGGCCUAACACAUGCAAGUCGAGCGCCCUUUCGGGGGAGCGGCGGACGGGUGAGUAACGCGUGGGAAUAUGCCCUUCUCUACGGAAUAGCCUCGGGAAACUGAGAGUAAUACCGUAUACGCCCUGUGGGGGAAAGAUUUAUCGGGGAAGGAUUAGCCCGCGUUGGAUUAGGUAGUUGGUGGGGUAAUGGCCUACCAAGCUGACGAUCCAUAGCUGGUUUGAGAGGAUGAUCAGCCACACUGGGACUGAGACACGGCCCAGACUCCUACGGGAGGCAGCAGUGGGGAAUCUUAGACAAUGGGGGCAACCCUGAUCUAGCCAUGCCGCGUGAGUGAUGAAGGCCUUAGGGUUGUAAAGCUCUUUCAGCUGGGAAGAUAAUGACGGUACCAGCAGAAGAAGCCCCGGCUAACUCCGUG